AAAGAGAUCCCCGAAAAUCUAUAAAAGAGUAGGGA
rnacentral:ncRNA from 1 species